AGGUAGAUGUUGAGGGAAGGUUAGGGUUAGAUGUUGAGGGAAGGUUAGAUGUUGAGGGAAUGUUAGAUGUUGAGGGAAGGUUAGAUGUUGAGGGAAGGUUAGGGUUAGAUGUUGAGGGAAGGUUAGAUGUUGAGGGAAGGUUAGAUGUUGAGGGAAGGUUAGAUGUUGAGGGAAGGUUAGAUGUUGAGGGAAGGUUAGAUGGUUAGAUGUUGAGGGAAGGUUAGGGUUAGAUGUUGAGGGAAGGU